rnacentral:lncRNA from 1 species
GACUUAGGGAGAAAGAGAAUAGGGUAUAAGAGGGAUUGAAAACUUUGAAGAAAGAAGUGUGUGAAGGAAACUGUCCUAAAUUUGUGAUUACAUUUUAAAUUCUGCCUUUACAAUUCCUUGUAUUCUGUAAAAUGCUUUUGCCUAGGUUGUGUUUUAAGUUUAUUAUAUUUCGGCUUGUUUUUCACUUUUGAUAUGUGCUAUACUAAAUAAAUGUGCCCUACCAGAAAUACGACACAAAUCACCUAUGGGGUACUGCUAGUGAUCUUAUUUACAAUAACACUGAGCAUGGGCUCUUCUGGAUAUAUACUUUGUGCGUCUCCCUUUUUAUUCCAUGUGUAGUCAGCAUUAACCUUUCACCAUAUGUGAAGAACAAGAAGUAAUCAAUACAAAACCAGGCUACCUGCCAAGAAGCAAUUUCCUGCCCCCCAGCCCCCUUUCCCCCUUCUCUCCAAGAUCAAAAAUAUAAUAGUAUCACUUCCAUGGUUUUAUUUAUUUAAAGUUUAUUUGGUGUUGUUUGGGGGCAAACAAACAAACAAAACAAGUAAACAUUGCUUCUUUCUGUUGUUUUAGAAUUAGCAAGAGCUUAAAGCUUGAUUGUUUUGGAGCUUUUGGAAACUUAUGAAGGUUGUGAGUUCUCGUGGCUUUUCUGAAGCUCUUGCAGAUAUUAUCAGGCUGCGCUUCCUUCAAAGCCCACCAGCUUUCCCCUCCCACCUCCUUCAGGCUUGCUGUUCUCCACAGAGUGUGUUUAAAUUAGCUGGACCAUUGCAAGCUAAGAGACUGAUUAAUCUUCAGAUGUGCCACAAGAUAGAAGUCAACAGCCUAGCGGAGGGACUUGAGUGGUUCCUCCAGGGUCAAUCUUACUCUCCAGGAGUGUGGAGGGAGACAUCCAGAAUGGUUCUUCCAUUUAAGGAAAGGUAA